AAACUUUACCCUUCAAAAAGGUUACUUUAGUAAUUAACAAAUUGAUUUUUUUCUACUGCCAUGUGUUGUUUGCUAAUUCGACAGCUUACCCAAAUUUGUACUUCCUUUGUCAUUUCCCUCCAAUACAACACUACUUUCCCUAUAUUUUUCACUCAUCGUUUUCACUUUCCUCCCUCUCUCUUGCAGAGUAUUCGUGAGCUAUACUCAUCCAUUGCUGUCAAACCAAGAAAUCGGAACCCUCCUUUUCUGAUAUAAACUUUUUCCUUCUCUCUCUCAGGUACAAUAAGAAACCAUAGCUCCGAAUCCUCACUCCCACCCCCAUUUGAAUUUUCAUCAAACCCUAAUUUCCCAUCUCUCAACUUCGUAUAUGUGACCAUCUUCACCGGGUAAAAAUACACACAACAUCAUUUUGAACUAGAUCCAACUUCUUCUUUCGUCUAGAUCCAGCUUCUCCGAAUACUGAUUUGUUUGCUAUUGUUGUGGCUCUACUACGUCUUACUCGCUUGUGUUUGAUUCAACUUUAGAUUUAUGAUUUUCUAAGUUUUGUGGUUUAUUUGAUUUCUGACUUUUUAUUGUGAUUCAUUCAUUUGGAUGCAUUUUUUUCAGAUCUGUGAGCUGAAGGUGUAAAGGAGCUGAAGGUGUAAAGGGCAAUUGUAUUGGCAUGUGUGGUAUUUGGUUGCAAGGAAACCGUUUUGUGUAGUGCAGGGAAAUUGCUGAAAUACUACCCUUCAAAAAGAGUAUUCGUGAGCUAUACUCAUCCAUUGCUGUCAAACCAAGAAAUCGGAACCCUCCUUUUCUGAUAUAAACUUUUUCCUUCUCUCUCUCAGGUACAAUAAGAAACCAUAGCUCCGAAUCCUCACUCCCACCCCCAUUUGAAUUUUCAUCAAACCCUAAUUUCCCAUCUCUCAACUUCGUAUAUGUGACCAUCUUCACCGGAUCUGUGAGCUGAAGGUGUAAAGGAGCUGAAGGUGUAAAGAUUCAGCCGUCCAUCCAGAAACGAUUGUCAUAAGACUCUGCUCACCUACUAAUUCACACUGCUCUUUCCGCAGGGCAAUUGUAUUGGCAUGUGUGGUAUUUGGUUGCAAGGAAACCGUUUUGUGUAGUGCAGGGAAAUUGCUGAAAUACUUAGUUUAAUACCUGAUUCUGCUGUUUUGAGAUUCUUUGUUGUUAUGCUUUUCUAUGAUUUUGUUUUCAAGAAGCAUCUCUGGUUCAAGACAUCGUAUAUAUGUUUCAAGAUUUGGCAGUAAAAGAAGGCGAACCUACCUUCAAAGUAGAUAUGCAAUAAAAUCACUAAAACUAAGCACCAAAUGUAAAUAUCAAAUCUGACACAAGCUUAGCAACUAAGAAACAGAGAUGUUUUCUUGAGUCUAUCUUAAGUUUUCAUUUUAUUAAAUAUUGUCAUGAAGAGUUCAAUUGAAUUAAAUAACAAAAUAUGGGUGUUAUUACAUGCUAGAUAGUUACAUUAUAUGAAUAACAUUUACAGUCCACACUGCAGAGUUGUAUUAUAUUCAAAGAUAGAAUAAAUAAAAUAUUAAUUGGUUUAUUGAUUUUUUUUCUUUUAAAAUAUUUAUCAUUUUAUCUUGCUUUUGGUGUUUCAUGAAUUCCAUAAUAGCCAAGAGCAUGGAUAGGCAUAAUACCACAUUGGGUCCCAGUAACCCAUGAAUAGCACCAGAAUGUUGUGUAGCUGUAGCAGCCAAAAAAAAGGCAAGAUAGAGAAAUAAGACAUUACUUCUCAUUAGCUCAUUUAUGUGAACCACUUGUGCAUAAGUGCUCUUUGUUAUAAUUCUAAUUGCUAAAUGUAAAAAUUGCAAACAAAGAAUAUAAAUACUCAGUAGUGGGAUUUUAAAAUUAUCUUCAAACUAUAAUUAAAAUCGGGCCAAGUAUUAUAAUUCCAAUUAAUUCAAUACUUCUCCUAUGUUCUUGACCUAUCUUAAACGUUUUUUAAUUUAGAAUCUAAUUUUCAUAUUAUUAAUAAAUUUUUUUAAAUAAUUAAUUUCUAUUUUAUAUAUGUAAUUUAUUCAAACUUUUUAACUUCAUAUUUUUCGUUUCAUUAAAAAUUACUACACCACAAAUAAUACACCCGGGCGACAGUACGGGUCACAAAUAAUGCACCUGCAUCAAUUGUUUAAAAUUACUUGAGUGCUAAAAUUCUUUUUUAUUGACUAAUUUUCAUGACUUAUGAAAUUAUCUACUCUAAUAUUUGUUCAAGUAAGAGAUUAAUGCAUCUUCCAAAUUUUCUAUUUUAUAAUGU